rnacentral:rRNA from 2 species
GGAAAAGAAACUAACAAGGAUUCCCCUAGUAACUGCGAGUGAAGAGGGAAAAGCUCAAAUUUAAAAUCUGGCAGUCUUUGAUUGUCCGAGUUGUAAUUUAGAGAAGUGUUACCCGUGUUGGGCCGUGUAUAAGUCUCCUGGAAUGGAGCGUCAUAGAGGGUGAGAAUCCCGCCUUUGACACGGACUUCCGAUACAUUGUGGUAUGCUCUCGAAGAGUCGAGUUGUUUGGGAAUGCAGCUCUAAAUGGGUGGUAAAUUCCAUCUAAAGCUAAAUAUUGGGGAGAGACCGAUAGCGAACAAGUACCGUGAGGGAAAGAUGAAAAGAACUUUGGAAAGAGAGUUAAACAGUACGUGAAAUUGCUGAAAGGGAAACGCUUGAAGUCAGUCGCGUCAGUUUGGGAUCAGCCUUCCUUUUGGUUGGUGUACUUCCUUACUGAUGGGUCAGCAUCAGUUUUGAUCAGUGGAUAAGAACUUGAGGAAUGUGGCAUCUUUGGGUGUGUUAUAGCCUCCUGGUGUAUACAUUGGUUGGGACUGAGGAACUCAGCACGCCGCAAGGCCGGGUCUUUGACCACGUUCGUGCUUAGGAUGCUGGCAUAAUGG